rnacentral:rRNA from 1 species
AUGUGAAAUCCCCGAGCUUAACUUGGGAAUUGCAUUCGAUACUGGUUGGCUAGAGUAUGGGAGAGGAUGGUAGAAUUCCAGGUGUAGCGGUGAAAUGCGUAGAGAUCUGGAGGAAUACCGAUGGCGAAGGCAGCCAUCUGGCCUAAUACUGACGCUGAGGUACGAAAGCAUGGGGAGCAAACAGGAUUAGAUACCCUGGUAGUCCAUGCCGUAAACGAUGUCUACUAGCCGUUGGGGCCCUUGAGGCUUUAGUGGCGCAGCUAACGCGAUAAGUAGACCGCCUGGGGAGUACGGUCGCAAGACUAAAACUCAAAUGAAUUGACGGGGGCCCGCACAAGCGGUGGAGCAUGUGGUUUAAUUCGAUGCAACGCGAAGAACCUUACCUGGCCUUGACAUACAGAGAACUUUCCAGAGAUGGAUUGGUGCCUUCGGGAACUCUGAUACAGGUGCUGCAUGGCUGUCGUCAGCUCGUGUCGUGAGAUGUUGGGUUAAGUCCCGCAACGAGCGCAACCCUUUUCCUUAUUUGCCAGCACUUCGGGUGGGAACUUUAAGGAUACUGCCAGUGACAAACUGGAGGAAGGCGGGGACGACGUCAAGUCAUCAUGGCCCUUACGGCCAGGGCUACACACGUGCUACAAUGGUCGGUACAAAGGGUUGCUACACAGCGAUGUGAUGCUAAUCUCAAAAAGCCGAUCGUAGUCCGGAUUGGAGUCUGCAACUCGACUC